rnacentral:rRNA from 1 species
UACGUAGGGCGCAAGCGUUGUCCGGAAUUAUUGGGCGUAAAGAGCUCGUAGGCGGUCUGUUACGUCCGCUGUGAAAACCCAGGGCUUAACCCUGGGCUUGCAGUGGAUACGGGCAGACUAGAGGCAGGUAGGGGAGAAUGGAAUUCCCGGUGUAGCGGUGAAAUUCGUAGAUAUCGGGAGGAACACCAGUGGCGAAGGCGGCGACCUGGACAGAUAUUGACGCUGAGGUGCGAAAGCGUGGGGAGCAAACAGG